UAUAAGACUGGGAUAACUUCGGGAAACCGGAGCUAAUACCGGAUAACAUUUAGAACCGCAUGGUUCUAAAGUGAAAGAUGGUUUUGCUAUCACUUAUAGAUGGACCCGCGCCGUAUUAGCUAGUUGGUAAGGUAACGGCUUACCAAGGCGACGAUACGUAGCCGACCUGAGAGGGUGAUCGGCCACACUGGAACUGAGACACGGUCCAGACUCCUACGGGAGGCAGCAGUAGGGAAUCUUCCGCAAUGGGCGAAAGCCUGACGGAGCAACGCCGCGUGAGUGAUGAAGGGUUUCGGCUCGUAAAACUCUGUUAUUAGGGAAGAACAAAUGUGUAAGUAACUGUGCACAUCUUGACGGUACCUAAUCAGAAAGCCACGGCUAACUACGUGCCAGCAGCCGCGGUAAUACGUAGGUGGCAAGCGUUAUCCGGAAUUAUUGGGCGUAAAGCGCGCGUAGGCGGUUUCUUAAGUCUGAUGUGAAAGCCCACGGCUCAACCGUGGAGGGUCAUUGGAAACUGGGAAACUUGAGUGCAGAAGAGGAAAGUGGAAUUCCAUGUGUAGCGGUGAAAUGCGCAGAGAUAUGGAGGAACACCAGUGGCGAAGGCGACUUUCUGGUCUGUAACUGACGCUGAUGUGCGAAAGCGUGGGGAUCAAACAGGAUUAGAUACCCUGGUAGUCCACGCCGUAAACGAUGAGUGCUAAGUGUUAGGGGGUUUCCGCCCCUUAGUGCUGCAGCUAACGCAUUAAGCACUCCGCCUGGGGAAUACGACCGCAAGGUUGAAACUCAAG
rnacentral:rRNA from 1 species